UCAUGCUACCCUGCGCCGGCUCGCCCUCUAGCGGCGCUGAGGGAGGGGCGGCUUGUUGCUAAGUAACCCGCGGCCGACCCAUAAAGGGGCUCUGGACCACUGCGGGUGUAAUCCAUCCUGAGAUUUGAUGAUCCAUUCCUUAGGCGAUUUCUUCAGUGCCAGGCUCUCCAGCUCUCCACAAGUCCUCAUCCUUCAUCCAAGAAGUCAUGUACGCAAUGCUCAGAGGCCAGAAGAGGAAGUCAGAUCCUCUGGCACUGGAGUAACAUACAGUUGUGAGCCUUCAUGGGGGUCCUGGAAGUGCAGACAGUGCUUUUCACUGCUGGGCCAUCUGUCCAACCUCAAGAUACAGUCCAUCCUGGUGGGAAGGCAUGGCGGCCGGAGUGCAGAUCGCUGAUCUCCAAGAGAGAG